rnacentral:rRNA from 1 species
AACGAACGCUGGCGGCAUGCCUAACACAUGCAAGUCGAACGAGACCUUCGGGUCUAGUGGCGCACGGGUGCGUAACGCGUGGGAACCUGACCUUAGGGUCGGAAUAACUCCCCGAAAGGGGUGCUAAUACCGGAUAAUGUCUUCGGACCAAAGAUUUAUCGCCUUUGGAUGGGCCCGCGUUGGAUUAGCUAGUUGGUAGGGUAAAAGCCUACCAAGGCGACGAUCCAUAGCUGGUCUGAGAGGAUGAUCAGCCACACUGGGACUGAGACACGGCCCAGACUCCUACGGGAGGCAGCAGUGGGGAAUAUUGGACAGUGGGCGAAAGCCUGAUCCAGCACUGCCGCGUGAGUGAUGAAGGCCUGAGGGUUGUAAAGCUCUUUUACCCGUGAUGAUAAUGACAGUACCGGGAGAAUAAGCUCCGGCUAACUCCGUG